CAACCCUCAAGCUCAGCUUGGUGUUGGGACUCGCGGUAACCACCCGCGUUCCCCAAAUCGAUUGGCGGUCACGUCGAGCUUCCAUAGCGUAGUAAUUUACACAUCGUUACUGGUAAUCGUCGCGGCCACGCCGUUAAACCCCAACUUCUGAA
rnacentral:misc_RNA from 1 species